UACGUAGGGGGCAAGCGUUGUCCGGAAUCAUUGGGCGUAAAGCGCGUGUAGGCGGCUGAGUAAGUCUGCUCUGAAAGCCCGGGGCUCAACCCCGGGAGGCGGGUGGAUACUGCUCAGCUCGAGUCCGGAAGAGGAGUGUGGAAUUCCUGGUGUAGCGGUGAAAUGCGCAGAUAUCGGGAGGAACACCAGUAGCGAAGGCGGCACUCUGGGGCCGGUACUGACGCUGAGGAGCGAAAGCGUGGGGAGCGAACAGG
rnacentral:rRNA from 1 species